rnacentral:rRNA from 1 species
GUGGGGAAUAUUGGACAAUGGGCGAAAGCCUGAUCCAGCCAUGCCGCGUGUGUGAAGAAGGUCUUCGGAUUGUAAAGCACUUUAAGUUGGGAGGAAGGGCAGUAAGUUAAUACCUUGCUGUUUUGACGUUACCGACAGAAUAAGCACCGGCUAACUUCGUGCCAGCAGCCGCGGUAAUACGAAGGGUGCAAGCGUUAAUCGGAAUUACUGGGCGUAAAGCGCGCGUAGGUGGUUUUGUAAGUUGGAGGUGAGAUCCCCGGGCUCAACCUGGGAACUGCCUCCAAAACUGCAUGACUAGAGUACGGUAGAGGGUAGUGGAAUUUCCUGUGUAGCGGUGAAAUGCGUAGAUAUAGGAAGGAACACCAGUGGCGAAGGCGACUACCUGGACUGAUACUGACACUGAGGUGCGAAAGCGUGGGGAGCAAACAGGAUUAGAAACCCUUGUAGUCC